CCUACGGGAGGCAGCAGUGAGGAAUAUUGGUCAAUGGCCGGAAGGCUGAACCAGCCAUGCCGCGUGAAGGUCAGUGCCCUAUGGGCGUUAAACUUCUUUUGUGCGGGAGCAAUAAUGGUCACGUGUGGCCAGACGAGAGUACCGUACGAAUAAGCAUCGGCUAACUCCGUGCCAGCAGCCGCGGUAAUACGGGGGAUGCAAGCGUUAUCCGGAUUUACUGGGUGUAAAGGGCGUGCAGCCGGAGAGACAAGUCAGAUGUAAAAUCCACGGGCUCAACCCGUGAACUGCAUUUGAAACUGUUGCCCUGGAGUGUCGGAGAGGUAAUCGGAAUUCCGUGUGUAGCGGGGAAAUGCGUAGAUAUAAGGAAGAACACCAGUGGCGAAGGCGGAUUACUGGACGAUAACUGACGGUGAGGCGCGAAAGCGUGGGGAGCAAACAGGAUUAGAUACCCUGGUAGUC
rnacentral:rRNA from 1 species